UACGGGGGGUGCAAGCGUUGUUCGGAAUUACUGGGCGUAAAGGGCUCGUAGGCGGCCCACUAAGUCAUACGUGAAAUCCCUCGGCUUAACCGGGGAACUGCGUCUGAUACUGGAUGGCUUGAGUGCGGGAGAGGGAUGCGGAAUUCCAGGUGUAGCGGUGAAAUGCGUAGAUAUCGGGAGGAACACCUGAGGCGAAGGCGGGUUGCUGGGCUGACACUGACGCUGAGGCGCGAAAGCUAGGGGAGCGAACGGG
rnacentral:rRNA from 1 species